UUAAGAUCAUAACCAUUGUAUGCUUAACCUUAGAAACACAUACAACUGGCUGUGACUCUACAGUAUCUCACAGUAUCUCACCAUGAAAUCUGAACUAAAUUAACAAGAAUCUCAUUACAGUAUCUGACUGACAAUAUAUUUAAAUAUAUAGAUAUACUUAUGUUCCUCUGGCAGCUGUUGACGUUUUUGAUUUUGAAUUUGAAUUUUACCAUCUGAAAUAAUUUUCCAGAGAGUAACUCUAAUAAAUUAAAAAUGUCCUUAAAGGUAUUUACAUGGAAAAUGUUUUGCAUGGCAAUGUUUUUUUUUAUCAAUUCCUAGAGUAAAUUUGUAAUACUAUUUUAAAUUCCCAAGCUUUUAGCAGAAUAACCAUAGCAGCUUAUAUACAUGUCAGCAUUUACUGAGAGAACAGCAGGAAGCCAGAGGGCUGGGGUUACUGUAUUGGUUUAGUAGGUGGGAUUUACUUGUCUCUUUAGGUACAAAAGAUGCUCACAGGCUAUGAUUGUGCCUGUAUUUAUAUACUGAACUGAAUAGACUGCACAGAGACUGUAGACCUGAUAGUCACAGCAACAUCAGUAUAAAGACUGGAUCACCAUGCAGAACCAACUGACAAUUCUCUUCAUGCAGAUCAUGUGUUUAUAUUAUGUGAACUGCAAGGAAGAAGUUAACCAAAUUCCUCAAUUAGCUUCUAAAUUUGAAGGCAGCAGUUUUAAUAUGACAUGUGAAUAUACCACCACUUUCUUUGGCCUCCAGUGGUACAAACAGGAGGCAGGGGAGAAACUCCAGCUUCUGACAAUCCUGAGAAAGGAUGAAGAGGUUACAGAGGACAGAUUUGUAUUUCGGUUGCAGAAAGAGAAGCAGCUUAGCACUGUGUCUAUCAAACAGGUGGAAGUAUCAGACUCAACCAUCUACUGGUGUGCUCUGCAGGCACAGUGCUAGAAAGCAGUUCCUUGCUGAACAAAAACUGCUCUGCCAGCCAACCUUCAGAUG